rnacentral:miRNA from 1 species
CACGGAACUGGGCGGUUGCACU